rnacentral:rRNA from 1 species
GACGAACGCUGGCGGCGUGCUUAACACAUGCAAGUCGAACGGUGAAAGCGGAGCUUGCUCCGCUGGAUCAGUGGCGAACGGGUGAGUAACACGUGGGCAACCUGCCCCUCACUUCGGGAUAACUCCGGGAAACCGGGGCUAAUACCGGAUAUGACCUCCUUGGGCAUCCUUGGAGGUGGAAAGUUCUUCGGUGAGGGAUGGGCCCGCGGCCUAUCAGCUUGUUGGUGAGGUAGUGGCUCACCAAGGCGACGACGGGUAGCCGGCCUGAGAGGGCGACCGGCCACACUGGGACUGAGACACGGCCCAGACUCCUACGGGAGGCAGCAGUGGGGAAUAUUGCGCAAUGGGCGAAAGCCUGACGCAGGAACGCCGCGUGCGGGAUGACGGCCUUCGGGUUGUAAACCGCUUUCAGCAGGGAAGAAGCCGCAAGGUGACGGUACCUGCAGAAGAAGCACCGGCUAACUACGUGCCAGCCGCCGCGGUAA